rnacentral:rRNA from 1 species
AGGAUUAACGCUGGCGGCGUGCCUGACACAUGCAAGUCGAACGAGGCCGCAAGGCCGAGUGGCGGACGGGUGAGUAACACGUGACCAACCAACCUCGAAGUUGGGAAUAGCUCUGCGAAAGUAGGGGUAAUACCGAAUGUGGCCCAGGGCGGGCAUCCGCCUUGGUCUAAAGAUUCAUCGCUUCGAGACGGGGUCGCGGCCUAUUAGCUUGUUGGUGAGGUAACGGCUCACCAAGGCGAUGAUGGGUAGCUGGUCUGAGAGGACGACCAGCCACACUGGGACUGAGACACGGCCCAGACUCCUACGGGAGGCAGCAGUGAGGAAUCUUCCGCAAUGGGCGAAAGCCUGACGGAGCAACGCCGCGUGUGGGAUGAAGACUCUAGGGUUGUAAACCACUGUCGGAGGGGACGAUCGUGACGGUACCCUCCAAGAAAGCCCCGGCUAACUACGUGCCAGCAGCCGC